GGGAGCGUAGCUCAAAUGUUAGAGCACUCGCGUAGCAUACGAGAGGUACGGGGGUCGAUACUCCGCGCCUCCA